CCUUGAACCAUUUUCCCUUGAAACUUGAGUUGUCUUCCGUCGACACUGAUUUCCCUUGAAACUUGAGUUGUCUUCCCUUGCUCCCCAGGUGAAAUCCAUUGUUGCCGUUUUGAAUUGUAAACUGAGAUGUUUUCCCUUCUUCAAACUGCUAAACUUGAAUGUAUUUGAACUUGAAUGUAUUCCUAUGUUCUUCAGGCGGGCUCCUGACUUCUGAAUUUUGAAUUUGAAUGUAUUCCUCUGUUAUCCAGGUGGGCUCCUGACUUCAUAAGAAUAGACAAAACAAAGAAAACUUUCUACCCCAGUUUGGAAACUGGGUACAUGUUACUGGAUAUUAAUAAGAAUUUGAGUAAAACUUAACUUGAAAUGCCUCUGCUAUACAGGCGGACUCCUGACUUCCGAAACUUGAAUUGUAUGCCUCUGUUCUUCAGGCGGGCUCCUGACUUCAAAAGACAAAAAAUCGAUUGAAAACUAAAAUUUGAAUUGUAUCACCUCUGUUCUUCAGGCGGG
rnacentral:lncRNA from 1 species